CUUGUGUUUAUGAAAACAUUUAAGACUAGUACAUUAUUUAGCUCUUCAUAUACAUUUUAGCCACUAUUAAGAGCCGCUGUAGGGGGUCCAAAGAGCCGUAUGUGGCUCUAGAGCCGCAGGUUGCAGACCCCUGCCCUAGACCAAUCGGAUGGA